UACGUAGGGUGCAAGCGUUAUCCGGAAUUAUUGGGCGUAAAGAGCUCGUAGGCGGUUUGUCGCGUCUGCUGUGAAAACUGGGGGCUCAACCCCCAGCCCUGCAGUGGGUACGGGCAGACUAGAGUGCGGUAGGGGAGAUUGGAAUUCCUGGUGUAGCGGUGGAAUGCGCAGAUAUCAGGAGGAACACCGGUGGCGAAGGCGCCACUCUGGGCCGAAACUGACGCUGAGGAGCGAAAGCGUGGGUAGCAAACAGG
rnacentral:rRNA from 1 species